rnacentral:rRNA from 1 species
CACGUAGGGCGCGAGCGUUGUCCGGAAUUAUUGGGCGUAAAGAGCUCGUAGGCGGCCUGUUGCGUCCGCUGUGAAAGCCCGGGGCUUAACCCCGGGUCUGCAUUCGAUACGGGCUAGCUAGAGUUCGGUAGGGGAGAUCGGAAUUCCUGGUGUAGCGGUGAAAUGCGCAGAUAUCAGGAGGAACACCGGUGGCGAAGGCGGAUCUCUGGGCCGAUACUGACGCUGAGGAGCGAAAGCGUGGGGAGCGAACAGG